GCUGGAGGCGGAAGAAAGAGAAAACCCAAAAACAAACCCUAAGCUACGCGUCUUGCCGUCUUCGACAUCUUCCUUAAUUCUUCCUCUUCGACAUCUUCGUGACCUUCGUCUCCAGUCCAGUCCGUUCCUCGUUCCUCCGGCUCCUUCCUCCGUUCCUCGUCCAGUCCGCCAGCCACUGACUGCAAUUCAAGUUGACAAGUUGCUUCGUCUUCGACUUCGAUAAUCGAUCCGCAAAUCGCAAUCCAGGCUCCAGCAAAUCAGCAAUCGACGCUUCCUCUUCCUCUUCAAGUUGCUUCAGACUUCAGUACACUUCGUCUUCUUUCUCAAGUUGAGCUUCUUCAUUUGAGUUUAAUAAUGAAAGUGGUACUCAAUUUGGUGGUGGUAUCCUGCAUAUAAGCCCAAGUGAGUAACAAUGGUUAGGAUUAGUGUGCUGAAUGAUGCUCUCAAGACAAUGUACAAUGCUGAGAAGCGAGGGAAGCGCCAAGUUCUGAUUAGGCCCUCAUCCAAAGUCAUCAUCAAGUUUCUACUUUUCAUGCAAAAGCAUGGUUACAUCGAUGAGUUCGAGUAUGUUGAUGAUCAUCGUUCUGGAAAGACCUUCGAUGGGUGCCGGAGCUUGAGUUUCGUCGGGAUUAGAAGAUGGAAGUGAAGAGUUUCCGACAUUUAUGUUUUGGAUGAAUGAUGAUGAAAAGAAAUUGUUUUGCCAAACCAUAAAAAAUGAUGAUGAAAUUGAGCCGUAAAAGAACAUAUUUAGAAUUUUGUGUCGCUUUUGGAAACAUUUUGUGAACUUGUUUGUUCGAUACUUUUUAGACGUAAUGAUGUAUAGGUGAAUAUUUGGUUGCACUAGGUUAUGGAAGAAUUGAUCCUUAGUUUUUGAUAUAACAAGUUAAUCGUGUAAAUUUCUUAACUAUAAUAUUUGUAAUCAAAUUUCUAAUUACAUCUUAUGCUAUCAAUUAUUAAAAUUAUCAUUUGCUUAGCUUUUUCAUUAAAGACUUUUUGCAACGGUAUUGUGCGACCAAGAGAAACUGUUGCCAAA